UCGGGCUUUGCCUGGUGGUGAGAGUGGCGAACGGGUGAGUAAUGCGUGACCGACCUGCCCCAUGCACCGGAAUAGCUCCUGGAAACGGGUGGUAAUGCCGGAUGCUCCAUCACACCGCAUGGUGUGUUGGGAAAGCCUUUGCGGCAUGGGAUGGGGUCGCGUCCUAUCAGCUUGAUGGCGGGGUAACGGCCCACCAUGGCUUCGACGGGUAGCCGGCCUGAGAGGGCGACCGGCCACAUUGGGACUGAGAUACGGCCCAGACUCCUACGGGAGGCAGCAGUGGGGAAUAUUGCACAAUGGGCGCAAGCCUGAUGCAGCGACGCCGCGUGAGGGAUGGAGGCCUUCGGGUUGUAAACCUCUUUUGUUAGGGAGCAAGGCACUUUGUGUUGAGUGUACCUUUCGAAUAAGCACCGGCUAACUACGUGCCAGCAGCCGCGGUAAUACGUAGGGUGCAAGCGUUAUCCGGAAUUAUUGGGCGUAAAGGGCUCGUAGGCGGUUCGUCGCGUCCGGUGUGAAAGUCCAUCGCUUAACGGUGGAUCCGCGCCGGGUACGGGCGGGCUUGAGUGCGGUAGGGGAGACUGGAAUUCCCGGUGUAACGGUGGAAUGUGUAGAUAUCGGGAAGAACACCAAUGGCGAANGCAGGUCUCUGGGCCGUUACUGACGCUGAGGAGCGAAAGCGUGGGGAGCGAACAGGA
rnacentral:rRNA from 1 species